rnacentral:rRNA from 1 species
AGUGAACGCUAGCGGGAGGCUUAACACAUGCAAGUCGAACGGCAGCGCGGACUUCGGUCGCGCGUCGGGGGGCGAACGGGCGGGUAGUGGAGGGGAACGUGCGCAUUAGCGUUGGAGAAGUGCGCGAAGGCGGAGAUAAUACCGCAUACGCGCAACGGAGCAAAGCGGGAGAGCAGAAGACCUUCGGACCUUGGGGGGUCGGAUGAGCCGAUGUCGGAUUAGCUAGUUGGCGGGGUAAAGGCCCACCAAGGCGACGAUCCGUAGCUGGUCUGAGAGGAUGAUCAGCCACACUGGAACUGAGACACGGUCCAGACUCCUACGGGAGGCAGCAGUGGGGAAUAUUGGACAAUGGGCGCAAGCCUGAUCCAGCCAUCCCGCGUGGGUGAAGAAGGCCUUCGGGUUGUAAAGCCCUUUUGUUAGGAAAGAAAAGCCGCAGGUUAAUACCCCGCUGUUCUGACGGUACCCAAAGAAUAAGCACCGGCUAACUUCGUG